AGAGUUUGAUCAUGGCUCAGGACGAACGCUGGCGGCGUGCCUAACACAUGCAAGUCGAGCGAUCUGGCACUCAAUUUCUUUUGAAAUUGAGUGCCAGAUAGCGGCGGACGGGUGAGUAACGCGUGAGGAACCUACCUUCUACUAGGGGAUAGCCUCGGGAAACUGGGAUUAAUACCCUAUGACACCUUUAAAUCGCAUGAUUUGAAGGUUAAAGCGUUUUAGCGGUAGAAGAUGGCCUCGCGUCCCAUUAGCUAGUUGGUGAGGUAACGGCUCACCAAGGCUACGAUGGGUAGCCGGCCUGAGAGGGUGAUCGGCCACACUGGAACUGAGACACGGUCCAGACUCCUACGGGAGGCAGCAGUGGGGAAUAUUGCACAAUGGGCGAAAGCCUGAUGCAGCGACGCCGCGUGAGCGAAGAAGGCCUUCGGGUCGUAAAGCUCUGUCCUAUGGGAAGAUAAUGACGGUACCAUAGGAGGAAGCCCCGGCUAACUACGUGCCAGCAGCCGCGGUAAUACGUAGGGGGCGAGCGUUGUCCGGAAUGACUGGGCGUAAAGGGUGCGUAGGCGGCCAGGUAAGUCAGAUGUGAAAGGCAUAGGCUCAACCUAUGUAAGCAUUUGAAACUGUCUGGCUUGAGUCGAGGAGAGGAAAGUGGAAUUCCUGGUGUAGCGGUGAAAUGCGUAGAUAUCAGGAGGAAUACCAGUGGCGAAGGCGGCUUCCUGGACUGUAACUGACGCUGAGGCACGAAAGCUGGGGGAGCAAACAGGAUUAGAUACCCUGGUAGUCCCAGCCGUAAACGAUGGGUACUAGGUGUUGCUGUCGUUAAGGCGGCAGUGCCGGAGCUAACGCAAUAAGUACCCCGCCUGGGGAGUACGGCCGCAAGGCUGAACUCAAAUGAAUUGACGG
rnacentral:rRNA from 1 species